rnacentral:misc_RNA from 1 species
GAUGAAGAACGCAGUGAAAUGCGAUAAGUAAUGUGAAUUGCAGAAUUCAGUGAAUCAUCGAAUCUUUGAACGCAUCUUGCGCUCCUUGGUAUUCUGAGGAGCAUGCCUGUUUGAGUGUCAUUAAAUUCUCAACUACACUGACUUUGAAUUGGUGUGGCUUGGAUUUGGGGGGAAAAUUGUUGUGGGCUUUUUGUAUAGUCUGCUCCCCUGAAAUUGAUUAGCGGUACCUUUGUGGAACUGUCUACAGGUGUGAUAAUUAUCUACAUCUUAGACAUCUGCUGGAAUGCUGCUUUCUAAACCUUACUUGUAUUGACAAUCUUGACCUCAAAUCAGGUAGGACUACCCGCUGAACUUAAGCAUAUCAAUAAGCGGAGG